GUUUCCUGUUGGAGAUGGUAAGUCCCUUUGGGGUGGAUGUUGGACUUCUUCACCUUGUAAACCUUUAACACAAGAUGCACAAAAAAAAAAGAUAACACAAUAAAG